rnacentral:rRNA from 1 species
GACGAACGCUGGCGGCGUGCCUAAUACAUGCAAGUCGAGCGAGACUCUUCGGAGUCUAGCGGCGGACGGGUGAGUAACACGUGGGCAACCUGCCUGUAAGACUGGGAUAACACCGGGAAACCGGUGCUAAUACCGGAUAAUCCUUUUCCUCUCAUGAGGGAAAGCUGAAAGUCGGUUUCGGCUGACACUUACAGAUGGGCCCGCGGCGCAUUAGCUAGUUGGUGAGGUAACGGCUCACCAAGGCGACGAUGCGUAGCCGACCUGAGAGGGUGGUCGGCCACACGGGAACUUGGACACUGCCCAGACUCCUACGGGAGGCAGCAGUAGGGAAUCUUCCACAAUGGACGAAAGUCUGAUGGAGCAACGCCGCGUGAGCGAUGAAGGCCUUCGGGUCGGAAAGCUCUGUUGUUAGGGAAGAACAAGUACCGGAGUAACUGCCGGUACCAUGACGGUACCUAACCAGAAAGCCACGGCUAACUACGUGCCAGCCGCCGCCGUAAGAC